AACCGAAAGAAAAGAGUGGCGAACGGGUGAGUAACACGUGGGUAACCUGCCCAUCAGAAGGGGAUAACACUUGGAAACAGGUGCUAAUACCGUAUAACAAGUAAAACCGCAUGGUUUUACUUUGAAAGGCGCUUUUGCGUCACUGAUGGAUGGACCCGCGGUGCAUUAGCUAGUUGGUGAGGUAACGGCUCACCAAGGCAACGAUGCAUAGCCGACCUGAGAGGGUGAUCGGCCACAUUGGGACUGAGACACGGCCCAAACUCCUACGGGAGGCAGCAGUAGGGAAUCUUCGGCAAUGGACGAAAGUCUGACCGAGCAACGCCGCGUGAGUGAAGAAGGUUUUCGGAUCGUAAAACUCUGUUGUUAGAGAAGAACAAGGAUGAGAGUAAAAUGUUCAUCCCUUGACGGUAUCUAACCAGAAAGCCACGGCUAACUACGUGCCAGCAGCCGCGGUAAUACGUAGGUGGCAAGCGUUGUCCGGAUUUAUUGGGCGUAAAGCGAGCGCAGGCGGUUUCUUAAGUCUGAUGUGAAAGCCCCCGGCUCAACCGGGGAGGGUCAUUGGAAACUGGGAAACUUGAGUGCAGAAGAGGAGAGUGGAAUUCCAUGUGUAGCGGUGAAAUGCGUAGAUAUAUGGAGGAACACCAGUGGCGAAGGCGGCUCUCUGGUCUGUAACUGACGCUGAGGCUCGAAAGCGUGGGGAGCAAACAGGAUUAGAUACCCUGGUAGUCCACGCCGUAAACGAUGAGUGCUAAGUGUUGGAGGGUUUCCGCCCUUCAGUGCUGCAGCUAACGCAUUAAGCACUCCGCCUGGGGAGUACGACCGCAAGGUUGAAACUCAAAGGAAUUGACGGGGGGCCCGCACAAGCGGUGGGAGCAUGUGGGUUUAAUUCGAAGCAACGCGAAGAACCUUACCAGGUCUUGACAUCCUUUGACCACUCUUAGAGAUAGAGCUUCCCCCUUCCCGGGGGCAAAGUG
rnacentral:rRNA from 1 species